rnacentral:rRNA from 1 species
AUGCUCACAAUCUCUCCCGGGGUGUCUCACGCACUCUCUCUCUCUCUCUCUCUCUCUCUUUCUGACUACUAUGUACCACUCUUUUCACUAAUCUCAGUUGAAAAACACUAUUUCUCUCACAUGCAUAUAUACACAUGCACGGUCUCUAAUAGCCCUCUAUACACACAUAUAUGUGCCUACAUAUCUCUCGCACGCACAUUAUUUUUAGGCCUCUCUCGCACACAAUGCCCCCCCAGACACACCUCUCUCUUAGUAGUUGGCAGAUAUGAUUCCAUCAGAUCAUUCGGUAGGAUAUCCCUGACUGUUAGGCUGGAUGGUAAUACGAGGCAAAGUUUUACCCAAGUUCGGACCCUUGCAGUUGAGGAAAAAGCCUAUUGUUGGUACUAUAUUAAUGAUAGGGGUGUGUACAAAGUACACAUGAAUACCAGGCAUUGUGCGUGUGUGUAUACUAUCGACGAACUAGCCCCAUGCUUCUAUAACAUACUCGGGGCCUAG